rnacentral:rRNA from 1 species
AGCGAACGCUGGCGGCAGGCCUAACACAUGCAAGUCGAACGAACUCUUCCGAGUUAGUGGCGGACGGGUGAGUAACACGUGGGAAAGCGCCCUUUGGUGCGGAAUAACUCAGGGAAACUUGUGCUAAUACCGCAUGUGCCCUUCGGGGGAAAGAUUUAUCGCCAUUAGAGCGGCCCGCGUCUGUUUAGCUAGUUGGUGAGGUAACGGCUCACCAAGGCGACGAUCAGUAGCUGGUCUGAGAGGAUGACCAGCCACACUGGGACUGAGACACGGCCCAGACUCCUACGGGAGGCAGCAGUGGGGAAUCUUGCGCAAUGGGCGAAAGCCUGACGCAGCCAUGCCGCGUGAAUGAUGAAGGUCUUAGGAUUGUAAAGUUCUUUCGCCGGGGACGAUAAUGACGGUACCCGGAGAAGAAGCCCCGGCUAACUUCGUG